GCAUUUUAUGAGACAGAUCGAAACAGCUGUUUUUCUCGUGUUUAUCUACUUUGACAAUCAGUGGGAGCCCGUUUGUUUGGUAAUUUCGUGCUGAACAUUCCGAUGGGUCCCAUAAUAAAUUCUGCCUGUUUUACUUUUCGUAUACCAGGGUUUUAGAUCAAAGUUUUUCAUAUGAUUCUUAAAACGUGUCGUUAGAUUAUUCAUACCAUUGCAUUAUAAGCAUGAAAUGCUGAAGAAAACACGAAUGAAAAUUAAAACUUUACAAACAUUAUUUUGUGUUCAGACCUAACGGAAUGUUCACGCAGAAUUAUACCAAAACAAAACAUUAGAAGUAAAUAAUCGGGCCACCGCUAAACGUCUCAUAAAAUGCCUUAUUGUGUCUUGCACUGUAAACUCGACAAUACUCUUUAAAGAGUAAAAAUCACCCCUUUUUUGACGAUAUAUGGAACUGUCAAAAUAAUGGGUGAUUAUUUAUUUUACAUAAUGAAUAUUUUAUGCCCAUUUUCAAGAUCCACGCUGAUACUCUUUAAUAAGUGAAAAACAAAAUAUACUUCCACACGCACAGUUCCCCGUCGUGAAUGGUAAGGCUGAUUCAGGAGCUGGAGGAGCCUUCAUUUAAAUGAACAGAAUACCAUCAGAAGCCUCGGACUGCCGCGAAUAAUUGAUGCAGUUCAUCACGAAGGGAUGCGAGAUUAUGCUGCUACACUUCAGCCAUUUGAGCUCAUCCGACAUCACAGAGAAGUCGGACUUUGCGAAGGCCUCAAAACAUUCCAGCGGGGAUAUCGUAUGUAUUUACGAAGAAUCUAUUCGAUAAGUGUUCCUGUUCUCGUUCCUGCCCCUGUUCCUGACGAUCGGGAACACACAGCCAGAGAUGGUUGGCUUUAUGCCAAGGAAGUCGUCGAUUCCGGGAACGGUUUCAGGAGCAGCUGCUGCGUCUAUUGUGUCCCUGCUUUGUCCACUUGUUUCCCGUCAUCCGUUCGGCGGGUUGCUUAAUACCAUGGCAUGUGAUCCGGUAAAGCAGAAAGGCGAGAAAAACACAAGUUGCAGUUAUUUCCCUUCAUAUAAUCAGCAAAAAUAACAUGAUGUGUAUCUAUUAUUGUAUGUUAAUUAAAUAAAGA